AACCAAUGGUUCAACGAGUUUAAACAAGCAAAUACGGCUACUUCACCUUCUCCACCCCCUGUUGUGCCUCCUCUGGCAUCCUUGAAUACUACCACCCCUGCAUCAGUGUUGGUUACUCGGGUAUCUGUAGAUAAGGUUCGAAAAUGUGGUGCAGAAGAGUUUAGAGGUAUGGUAGAUGAUGAUUCGUCAAAAGCUGAGUACUAGCUAUUAAAUACAAAGAGAGUUUUUGCAGAAUUAUUGUAUAACCCUAAAGAUUGUUUGAGAUGUGC
rnacentral:lncRNA from 1 species